rnacentral:rRNA from 1 species
GGACAAUGGGCGCAAGCCUGAUCCAGCAAUGCCGCGUGCAGGAAGAAGGCCUUCGGGUUGUAAACUGCUUUUGUCAGGGAAGAAAUCCUCUGGGUUAAUACCUCGGGGGGAUGGACGGUACCUGAAGAAUAAGCACCCGGCUAACUACGUGCCAGCAGCCGCGGUAAUACGUAGGGUGCGAGCGUUAAUCGGAAUUACUGGGCGUAAAGCGUGCGCAGGCGGUUGUGCAAGACAGGUGUGAAAUCCCGGGCUUAACCUGGGAACUGCACUUGUGACUGCACGGCUAGAGUACGGUAGAGGGGGAGUGGAAUUCCGCGUGUAGCAGUGAAAUGCGUAGAUAUGCGGAGGAACACCGAUGGCGAAGGCAAUCCCCUGGACCUGUACUGACGCUCAUGCACGAAAGCGUGGGGAGCAAACAGGAUUAGAUACCCUGGUAG